rnacentral:rRNA from 1 species
UACAGAGGGUGCAAGCGUUAAUCGGAAUUACUGGGCGUAAAGGGCGCGUAGGUGGUUACGUAAGUGAGAUGUGAAAUCCCCGGGCUUAACCUGGGAAUUGCAUUUUAUACUGCGUGGCUGGAGUGCAAUAGAGGGUAGUGGAAUUUCCGGUGUAGCGGUGAAAUGCGUAGAUAUCGGAAGGAACACCAGUGGCGAAGGCGGCUACCUGGAUUGACACUGACACUGAGGCGCGAGAGCGUGGGGAGCAAACAGG